UCCUUAUUUUUCAGAUUUUGUAAAGAUUUGUUUUAUUAAUACUCUAUUACUUAUUUUUAAUUAUUAAGGACUUGUAAUAAUUUAAUUGGUUGUGCCUAAUCAUUAAUGCUUAGGUGUGGACUCACCUAAGAAUUUCUCAUUACGGCUUACAUGUGCAUUGAUUUGGUCAAAAUCAAUGAAGGACCCAUGCGAAUGGACAAAUCUAUAAAGUAUUAAGAUUAUAAAAUCGAAAUUGUAAAGUGCGUGAAUCGUAAGUUUGUGAAAGAUCCAAAAUCUAGGGAGAAAAAGAUAAUUUCAUUUCAUUUAUUAUCAACAUUACUUUAUUAUACAAAUUUAAAUUUGCAAGUAUUAAGAAGAAAAAAAAUAAAAAUAAAAAUAUAAUUAUAGGUUCUUUAGUUGGAGUCUUGGAGAACUCAAUCUUUCCUAUAUAUAUUGGGUGUAAUUGAAUUCAAUUGGUGACAAUGGCCAUCGAUGCAUGCAGCAAUGAGAACGUGGGGUAGAAAAACUACAUGAGGGCAAUCUUGAGUGGUUGUACAUUUGAUUAAUGGGAUAAAUGGGGAGGUUGCAAUUGGAUGAGCGGAUUUAGUCNCA
rnacentral:lncRNA from 1 species